UACGUAGGGGGCAAGCGUUGUCCGGAUUUAUUGGGCGUAAAGAGCGUGUAGGCGGCCAGGUAGGUCCGUUGUGAAAACUCGAGGCUCAACCUCGAGACGUCGGCGGAAACCCUCUGGCUAGAGUCCGGAAGAGGAGAGUGGAAUUCCUGGUGUAGCGGUGAAAUGCGCAGAUAUCAGGAGGAACACCGGUGGCGAAGGCGGUUCUCUGGGAAUGUCCUGACGCUGAGGAGCGAAAGUGUGGGGAGCGAACAGG
rnacentral:rRNA from 1 species